rnacentral:lncRNA from 1 species
CUCUUGAAUAUGCUCUUUUUACAUCUUCGGGCAUUACCACACCAGAUGGUGUGAAGUAUCAAAAUCUUCUUGAUGCUCUCUUGGAUGCAACAUACUCAGCGCUCGAAAGGGCCGGAGGCCAAUCUGUCGAAAUUGUUGUAUCAGAAACCGGUUGGCCAUCAGAUGGAGGAGGACAAGCGACAUCAAUAGACAAUGCCAGGACUUACAACACUAACCUGAUUGGGCAUGUCAAUGGGAAUUCUGGAACCCCAAAAAGGCCUGGAAGAGCUAUUGAGACUUACAUUUUUGAUUUGUUUGAUGAAGAUCAAAAGAGUCCAGACUAUGAGAAGCAUUUUGGGCUCUUUCUUCCAAAUAGGCAGCCAAAGUACCCAAUCAGCUUCUAACUAGAUUGAGAAAUUAUCUAGUGUAUAACAAGAAUAAGAAUAAGAAUCCAUAGGCUCCACAUGUUAUCCCUUGCUUAUAU